rnacentral:RNase_P_RNA from 1 species
GGAGCCGGCCAGACAGUCGCGUCAUCCUUCGGGGGUGCCGAGGAAAGUCCGGGCUCCAUAGGGCAAGGUGCCAGGUAACGCCUGGGCGGCGCAAGCCGACGGAAAGUGCAACAGAAAGAUACCGCCUACGCCUUCUUCGGAAGGCCGGUAAGGGUGAAAUGGUGCGGUAAGAGCGCACCGCGAGUCUGGCAACAGACCGGCACGGCAAACCCCACCUGGAGCAAGACCAAAUAGGGAUCCUUUGGCGCGGCCCGCGUUGGAUCCGG